GGUAAGGAAUAACGUCGAGAAAUCGGCGCUAAUACCUCAUUAAUGCAGCGGAUCCGCAUGGAUAUGUUGUUAAAGGUUUACCGCCUUGGGAUAGGCUUGCGUCUGAUUAGUUAGUUGGUGUGGUAACGGCACACCAAGGCUACGAUCAGUAACUGGUCUGAGAGGAUGAUCAGUCACACUGGAACUGAGACACGGUCCAGACUCCUACGGGAGGCAGCAGUGAGGAAUAUUGGGCAAUGCUCGAAAGAGUGACCCAGCAACGCCGCGUGGAGGAUGAAGGUAUUCUAUAUCGUAAACUCCUGUGAGAGCAGACGAAAGACAGAUUAUUAAUCUGGAUGACUGUAUGCUCAGAGGAAGCCCCGGCUAACUACGUG
rnacentral:rRNA from 1 species